GCAGUCGUGGCCGAGUGGUUAAGGCGAUAGUCUUGAAAACCAUUGGGUUCUUCCCACGCAAGUUCAAAUCCUGCUGAUUGCG
rnacentral:tRNA from 1 species